AUUGAACGCUGGCGGCAGGCCUAACACAUGCAAGUCGAACGUGUGGCGGGCGGGUGUGUCAUGUCUGGGAACCUGCUUGUUGGAGGGGGAUAACUAUUGGAAACGGUAGCUAAACCCGCACAGCAUAAGAUGUGUCUAGAUGGGAGUUGCUUUUGGGUGGGGUAACGGUACACCAAGGCGACGACCCCUAGCUGGUCUGAGAGGAUGACCAGCAACACUGGAACGGGAACACGGUCCAGAUUCCUACGGGAGGAGUCAGUGGGGAAUAUUGCACAAUGGGCGAAAGCCUGAUACAGCCAUGCCGCGUGUGUGAAGAAGGCCUUCGGUUUGUAAAGUACUUUCAGAGGGGAGGCGUUAACCACAGAAUAAGCACCGGCUAACUCCGUGCCAGCAGCCGCGGUAAUAC
rnacentral:rRNA from 1 species